GUAGGAGCGAGCCUGCUCGCGAUUGCUGAUUAUCAGGCAACAAUGCUUUGACUGAUGCACCGCGAUCGCGAGCAGGCUCGCUCCUAC
rnacentral:antisense_RNA from 2 species